UCCUCCGCCUCCUCUCCUGCUCCCGCCAUCGCCCGCAGAACCUCACCCAAACCCAUCGCUCGCUCGCCAAGAUCCAAGGCGGCCGCAGCGGCCGGGAGACUGGGAGGACGCGCGCGGGAGGAGAUCCAAGGCGGCCGACGAAGGCCCCGGCGGCGCCACCGGCCUAGAAGCCCGCGUCCGAUGGCGAUAGGAGCGAGGGCGUCGCCAGCUCGGACACCCCGCUCGCCUUCCCCGAGGGCGACGAGCACGACGAGGCGGCGGCGGCGGAGGACGAGGCCAAGGCCAGCACGCAGGACAAGUGGGCGCAGCAGCAGCAGGCCGGCCCGCCAUGGCAGUGGAGCGGGGGCGACGGCGGCUACUCCUUCAGUCGACUGCAUCUUUUUGUGGCGCUUGGGUACAUUCCGAAUCAACUACAAAUUCCUCUCACUACGCCCAUGCCCAGAUUAGCCAAUAUUUGGGAGAUGAGGUGGCUCAACUAAUUGGAGACAGAACAAGAUGAAGAAGGAAAGUACGGCCACACCAGGGCGACCUGGGAGCAAGAGAUGAUCACCAUCAUCUGGGUGCUAAAGGCCUAGGGAAUUAUAACAUGUUUUUUUUUAUAGAAUGGAUGCUCAUGGCGUAGCUUACAGUACCAGGCAACAUCUUCUGUUGAUUACAGUGCCAAAAACUCCAGCAGGCCGCAGGACUCCUACGUCGCUGGCGCUUGUCACUGUCGCUGACGACGCCCUGCGUCCGGCUGGCCGCCAAGGAAUCCGCCAACCCGUCCCAAUUUAGUGUCCCACAUCAUGAGCUCCUCGAAGGUGAGCAGCUGGCCCAGCCUCGCCAUGUAGCACACGGUCUUGGUAGUGGAGAUGUCGACAUUGUCACUGCGGUCGAAGGUGCGGACGGACUCGAGCAACUACGCCCGCUGGUUGAGGUAUGGAGCAUAGGGCGUGAGCACCGGCAUGAUGGUGUGCGCUAGCUCGUCGAACUCAGCGGCCCGCUGACAUCUGUGUUGAUGGCCAGCAGCAGAAGGACUCGUCGCCCGGCGGCCGCAAGCUUAGGGGGGUGGAGCAGGGCGUCGAGAUCGAGACCUGCUGGCGCCUGUCACGCCGUCACUGACUCAGACCACAAGAGUCCUGCUGUGUUCGGCGUCGCGCCCUCCACAUCCUGCAAUGGUGAUCACGAUGCCCCUGCAGAACAAGGUGCCGACGCCUGUCACUGCCCUGCGUCCUGCUCCACGCUGUGCCCAGUGCUGCCACCCUGCUCUGUGUUGUGCCCUCGAUAGGCGCCAUCCUUGGACGCCAUCUCUUCCAACCUAUCUUCAAAAAAGAUUUGUACCCUUCCAAACUGAUAUCAAUUACAUACUCAAGGCAGUUCUAGAUGUCUGCAAGUUUGUGAUCUGCAAGUAUUAUAGUCAAAAGGAUUUCAAUUAUGAUAGGCCGUAGCUUCACUUCACAUCCUCAGGCUGUAGCUGGAUCAGAUGAAGCAGUUUUGCCGUGUGAAUAGCCGUAAAGCGAAACAGAAGCAGCUCACAUGCGAGUCUACUUGUUUUUUUUACUUGCCGUAGCUGGAUCAUUAGCUUGAACGCAAAGCCAUCUAGUCUAUUCUCUGCCCCCAUGAUAUCUUUUCUUAAUUUGGUAGAUUGGUAGAUCAAGUUUUUGCAAGAUGACAACACCACAUGUGUAGUUGCUGACUAUGUUUAUAUCGCAAAAAUAUUAUGGUUGCAAGCAUCUACCUGUCUUAUUCUCAAGGAAGGGCCCAGCCUAUCAUUUGAUUUUAAGUUUGUUAGAAAAUAUGCAACUUGUAUUCCCAUGAGGCCAUAGGCAGAUAUAUAUACAUGUACAGGUGUGGAACAUAUGCAGGAAACCCCUUAUACAACGGGAUAAACACAAAGGGGUACAUGACUUAUAUUAUAACUCUAACACCCCCCCUCAAACUCAUGGUGGAUGAACAACACUGAGUUUGGAGAGAUAAAAGCCAUGUUGUGCUCUAGUCUGGGCCUUCGUCAGGA